UCUCGCUCCCCUCCCAGCCCGUCUCCUCCCCCUCGGCUCGUCUGCUCCCUGGCGUGACUCGGCACUCCGAGCUCGGGGGACGACACGUCGUGGUCGCCGCUCGGUCCAGGCCCCGGCCUCCCGCAGCCCCUCCCGGGCCUCUCUCGGCCUUUCUUUUUAAGUUUUGAAGCCGGAAGCGUCGCGGCCGCCCUGCCGGGUUCUCUGUGAGGAUGGUGGGAGUGAAGCCGGUCGGCAGCGAUCCGGAUUUCCAGCCGGAGCUGAGCGGGGCGGGCUCCCGACUUGCUGUGGUCAAGUUCACCAUGAGAGGGUGUGGACCGUGUUUGAGGAUUGCUCCAGCAUUCAGUUCUAUGAGUAAUAAGUAUCCACAGGCAGUUUUCUUGGAAGUAGAUGUACAUCAGUGCCAGGGAACAGCUGCCACGAACAAUAUCUCAGCAACACCUACAUUUUUGUUUUUUCGAAACAAAGUGAGAAUUGAUCAGUAUCAAGGAGCAGAUGCUGUGGGACUAGAAGAGAAAAUCAAGCAGCAUCUAGAAAAUGAUCCUGGAAGCAACGAGGACACGGACAUUCCUAAGGGCUAUAUGGAUUUAAUGCCUUUUAUUAACAAAGCUGGUUGUGAAUGUCUUAAUGAAAGUGAUGAGCAUGGCUUUGACAACUGUUUACGAAAAGACAUGUCCUUCUUGGAAUCUGACUGUGAUGAGCAGCUACUUAUUACUGUGGCAUUCAACCAACCUGUUAAGCUGUAUUCCAUGAAAUUUCAAGGACCAGAUAAUGGUCAAGGUCCUAAAUACGUAAAAAUUUUUAUCAACCUACCCCGAUCUAUGGAUUUUGAGGAGGCAGAAAGGAGUGAGCCAACUCAAGCUCUGGAACUGACAGAAGAUGACAUUAAAGAAGAUGGCAUUGUUCCUCUUCGUUAUGUUAAAUUUCAGAAUGUUAACAGUGUAACUCUAUUCGUUCAGUCUAAUCAAGGUGAAGAAGAGACAACGAGAAUUUCAUAUUUUACUUUCAUUGGUACUCCAGUGCAGGCAACAAAUAUGAAUGACUUCAAACGAAUGAUUUUAGUUUUCAGCAUGUCUCUGACCUCCCUUUACGUCACUAAGUUGACAGAAGCGAAGCUUUUUUAAUACAACUCAAUGAACUAAAACUGGAAGAUUUUCUUUUUUAAUGAAGUAAUAUAGAGAUAGACUUUGUCUCAUUGUACCCCUUCCUUGCUUCAUUACUCGUCUGUCACCUACUCUCACCCUCCCCAUGUCCUCAAUUGUUGCUGCGAGAUUUCUUCAGCUUCAGCAUCUGGAUCAGCCUUCUUGUUACCUAGAUUGCCUCAACCACCUCUUCCUUCAGAUUUCAUCCCACUCAUGACUCUCAGUUGGCCCUUUAUUUUGCUUGCAAAUAUAAUAGGUGCCUUAAUUUUCUUACCAUAUUAUGUUGCUCACAAGGCAGUUUUAUUUUUGUUUUUUUUUUUUACCUUCUGCUGUUUUCUAUUUAAUUUUGUUCAAUAUUUUAAGAAAUAAUUUUGGAGUAAAACUUAUGUUUAAAAUGCUUUCAAGCUUAAUUAGUUGAGUAAUAUUUUUAUCCAUUUUCAAGUUUUAUAUUUUAGGAAUAGGAGAAUUAUUUUGGAAAGUAAAUAUAACUUUUUUUUUCCUAACUAGAGCAGUGUUACAUACUCCUUGGGUUUUAGUUGCAAGUUGUGAAUUUUCUUAUUGGAACAUUUGCCACAAAAUCUUUUUGUGGUUGUAUUCUCUCAUGCUUACCCAUGUGAGCUCAAGUCCAGUUGAAGAAUGUAUGGACUGAACAGGCUGGGUUAAAACUCUAAUGCGGAAGACCAAUGGAUUCUUUACUGAAUGAAAGUUUUUAACAUCUAAUUUUGAUGUAUCUAGACUUUGGUUUAUCUGAGAUGUAACAUAAAGACUUAAGACAGAAUGAAAGAGCUUUAUGUUUGGGGUAGUUGGCAAAAAAGGAGAAAGUCAUUAGGGUACAAAAGACACUGGAAGACUUAACUGCAGUCAGAUUUGCAGCUCCUGGAUAAUUGCUUGAUUCUCUUCAGAAACUGUUAAUCUUUUAUUUGUUGCCAUUACCAAUAAAUCAUUGCUUUUGUUCAGAUGGUAUCACUAGUGUUUCUAUUGUAAACUUGAUACAUGCAGUUGUAAAUAAUAAAAGUCAGUACUUUUGCCAAGCUUAAAUUUUGUCAUUCUAUAUAAAUGCAUUCUCUCUCUUGUUUUUAUUUGAAUAUUGACUUUUUGUUUUAGAAGAGCUGUGUCUGAAAUCCCAUUGGCUACAACCUAGUCUGUCUCUAGAAGAAUAGAAUGUUAGAGGAAUUAAGAGUACUGUCUGCACAUGUAGAGUGUUUUGAUACAUGGAUUUGAAAUGUGUCUACACAUGUGGAAUGUUUUGAUGCAUGGAUUUGGAAUAACUAACCAUGUUCGAGUGAGUAUUGACUUUGUAUUUUAUCAAAAGAUAUUUGGGUAUAUCUAGGCUUUAUAAAUUUCCUCAAAUUAUAAACAGCCGCUAAUCUUAGCUAUCACUGGUAGUUAACAGGUCUACAAAUGUUCUGUUUUUGGGGGAGAGUCUUGCUAUAUAGCAUAGGCUAGCCUCAUCAUUUAUACCCUUUUGUGCCUACCUCCCAAAGGCUGGGAUCGUAGGCAUGUACCACCAAACCUGGUCUCAUGUCAAGAUUUUAAUCUUUUUGUAUAAACCUAAAAGUUAGAGUCAGAUAUUUUCUUUAAUAAUGAAGGUAUUAAUAUUGAAUUCAGACAGUUGGCAAAAUAUAAUACAGUUUAUGGAAAAUGGGAAUUUAGUAUCUAAUCUAAUAUUUAUUAAUUAAAUUCACCAAACAUUCACUAUAAAUGCAUAGAUACAGAAUACGAUUUAAGGUUGAAAGUGAGUCGUCCUAACUGGUUUUUAAGAUCUUUUUACAAAAAACUGGCUAAACAAAAUAUUUGUUCUUAUGUGUUUUUUUAACCUUACAAUUGAACAUUAGACUAAAAUAUUGGAAAAUUUAAUGUUUUUUUAUUUUAUGUGUGCAAAAUGUAUUUGGCCUCCUCUAUGUGUAUAUUCUCGUAUAUGUAGACUGGAAGAGCAUCAAAACCUCAAGAAUAGGAGUGACAGAUGCUUGGGAACUGAGUGUAGGCCUCUACAGGGCUGCUGCUCCAGCCCUAUGAAUUUAUCUUUUAAUUCAGUAUUUUAAAAGAUUAUAACUUGUAAUUCAGUUAAUGCAUUUGAGGACAUUCUUAUCUAGAAAUAGUGCCGAGAUUUGCCCUUUCAGUACUAAUGUAUUUAUACACGGUUAUUGUAAAGCUGUGGAAGUUUUAGUGCUGAAGUAGCCCUCUUCUGAAACUUGUGUUGUCGGGUAAUGUUCAGUUCAUUUGUGAGCACAGUAACCGAUCUGUGAUGUUUGUAUUCUAUGUAUUUCAGUCUUGUUGACUUAGAACAAAAGGAAGACAAAAAAUAAAAGUUUAUAAUGCAAACCAUCUGAAGUUAAUCACACCUGAAUGAAGAACAAGAUUAACAUCAAGAGUUUUAGUUUAUACUUGCCCUUUUUGGGUAGUCAUUGAAGUGCCUCAUCUCAAGUGUAAAUGAAAACCAAGUAGAAGUAGUUUCACAUUUGCAAAGGUUCAGACAUCAGAUUUUUGUCGCUAUAUGACUUCUGUAACUUUAUUGCAGCAUACAGAUAUUCUGUCAUUUGAGUUGUAAAUUGUGAGGAAUGCUAGUAGGAAGCCUAUAUGUGUCACAAAUUUUCUUAGUGAAAAAAAUAAAUAAAUAAAGACACGUAGUUGACAUGUAAAACAUCAAGCUAAAAUGCUAUUUUCUGUUAAACAGUACAUAUAUAGUUACCUGUAAAUAUAUGUAUACACACAUAAAAUAUUUACAUGUAACAGUUUUCCAGAAAAGAACAUGAGGAAUAUGUAACCUUGGUUAUUUUAACAUUAGUGUUUUCUAGAAAACAAAUAUUAGUUUGUUUUGUCAAGCUAUAUUUUGUCAAACUAUAUUUGUCUAAAAACAAUCUAUUUGUAUGCAUCUUGUUUUUCUUAUCAAGACAUAUAGUGAAAUACUCUUUCAGCAGAAACAGUGCCAUAGGAAGGUUUUGUCAGAGGAAACCUAAGAAUAAGACUAACACUUGUUACUGUGUUCGUAUUGGCCCUUUAUAAAAGUGCUUUGACUGUCUGGCUGUCAGGGACCAAAUGCCCCCUCUUGUAUAUGAAUGUAUUGGAUGGAGGUAGUCACUUAGCUGUCUACCAGCCAUGUUUGUCUAAAUGAUUAAAGAUGUAUAAGGCUUUUUUUGUGGUAUUCAUAGUUUUUGCUAUGAGUGUACAUUUAAUCCAAACAUUUCAUUCAUGGCUAUCAUUAGUUCUUAUGUUUAUAUUGAGAGUCUGGGGACCACAAUGUAGGCCAGGAGAUGCAGUCGUCUAUAUAUGACAGAUUUACACCCAUCAGAUCUUAACAAUAUGGUAACAUGAACAAGACCUGUACCAGUUGGCAUGCCAAAAGGAGGUGAGGAAAUUUUGUAAGGCCCCAUAUCUAAAAGAAAAGCUACUAAGAAUCAGUCUUAUUCAGGGAAAAGCUUUUUUUGUGUGUUUAUAUGUGUUUAGGAUUGACCACUUAGGAUUGGUCAAGCCCAAUAACACAAUCCCAAGUGGUCAAUCCUUAAAUACAUAAUCUGAGCAACACUAAAUGGGCUUGGCAGGUUGUAUUUUAUAUAUACAUACAAGUAUAUGUGUAUUCGUCUUAGUUACCUAUCUUUUGCUGUGAAUAUCCCUGGUCAAGGGUGUUAUAGAAGAGUUCAUUGGGGCUUAACAGUUUCAGAGGAUGAGUCUGCGACCCUUAUGUUGGAGAGCAAGCAAGCAUGUUCUGGAGCAGUAGUGGAAUGCCUGGUUACCUCUGAUCUGGAAGUAAGAGGUACAGACAGCUAACUGGAACUGGUGUGGGCUUUUGAGAUUGUAUGAAUUUUCACCAGGAAGAACAAAGGGUUACAUCACUUUAGUUUUAUCUAAUAAUUUAAUUAUAAGGUUCCUGGUAUGUACCUUAUUUGAAUCAAUAUCAGUCAAUACCUUUGGUUUCUUUAUUACACCAAAGAAAAUUACUCUGUUGUCUGUGGUUUCUUAAGUCCUUACAUAUGAACAUUUCAAUGUCUUAAUUGUCUCUUCGCCUCAUUUGGUUAGCAUGUUUGAGAAAUACUGAACCAGGGGGAUUGGAAUUCCUCUGGACGUUUUUAGUGUCAUUAAUAAAAUACAUUUUUAAUAUUUA